UGGGGAAUAUUGGACAAUGGGCGCAAGCCUGAUCCAGCCAUGCCGCGUGUGUGAAGAAGGCCUUUUGGUUGUAAAGCACUUUAAGCGAGGAGGAGGCUACUUGGAUUAAUACUCUAGGAUAGUGGACGUUACUCGCAGAAUAAGCACCGGCUAACUCUGUGCCAGCAGCCGCGGUAAUACAGAGGGUGCGAGCGUUAAUCGGAUUUACUGGGCGUAAAGCGUGCGUAGGCGGCUUCUUAAGUCGGAUGUGAAAUCCCUGAGCUUAACUUAGGAAUUGCAUUCGAUACUGGGAAGCUAGAGAAUGGGAGAGGAUGGUAGAAUUCCAGGUGUAGCGGUGAAAUGCGUAGAGAUCUGGAGGAAUACCGAUGGCGAAGGCAGCCAUCUGGCCUAAUACUGACGCUGAGGUACGAAAGCAUGGGGAGCAAACAGG
rnacentral:rRNA from 2 species